rnacentral:rRNA from 1 species
UACAGAGGGGGCAAGCGUUGUUCGGAAUUACUGGGCGUAAAGGGCGCGUAGGCGGCCUGCUAAGUCGAACGUGAAAUCCCUGGGCUCAACCCAGGAACUGCGUCCGAUACUGGUUGGCUUGAAUCCGGGAGAGGGAUGUGGAAUUCCAGGUGUAGCGGUGAAAUGCGUAGAUAUCUGGAGGAACACCGGUGGCGAAGGCGGCAUCCUGGACCGGCAUUGACGCUGAGGCGCGAAAGCCAGGGGAGCAAACGG